UCAGUCCUCACACACGGUAAAUAGAGCAAAUCACUGUGAGACUGAUGGGGGUGCACAUAGUGUAUAUAUGUGUAUGAGAGGAAUGUAAUGUCCAUGUUUGAUGCUGCUCUGACCCCCCUCCUCCUUUCAGGGUGGAGCCUGCUGGAGUCCGAUGGUUGAGACCAGGUCUGAGGAAGUAUUCCUGUGAACUCACAAUCGACACAAACACAGUAAGCAAAUGGAUCAAACUGUCUGACAACAACAGGAAGGCAAUGCGUGUGGAGGAGGAUCAGUCAUAUCCUGAUCAUCCAGAGAGGUUUGGCCGCUGUCAGCUGCUGUGUACAGAUGGUCUGACUGGUCGCUGUUACUGGGAGGUCGAGUGGAGACGAGGAGUUUCUAUAUCAGUGAAUUACAGAGGAAUCAGAAGGAGAGGAGCCAAAGAAGAAUGUGUGUUUGGAAUGAAUGAUCAGUCCUGGAGUCUGAGCUGCUCUGAUGAUAGUCGUUACUCUGUCAGGCACAAUAACGUAACAAUACCCACCUCCUACUCCUCCUCCUCCUCCUCCAGAGUAGCAGUGUAUGUGGACUGUCCUGCUGGCUCUCUGUCCUUCUUCAGAGUCUCCUCUGACACACUGAUCCACCUCCACACCUUCAACACCACAUUCACUGAACCUCUUUAUCCUGGCUUUGGGUUCUGGCCUGGUUCCUCAGUGUCUCUGUGUUCUGUGUAGGAGGGAGAGCCAGACUUGAACCCCGUCCAACAUCUCUGACUGUGAGCCAGACCUGAUCACCAGCAUCCGUGUUGGACCUCCAACAUGUUUUAAAGGGUUUUAAGCGUCAAAAGUGGUUUAAUGUUUGUCGCUGGUUAAGUGCUUUUAAGGUGGUAUUUAAGUUUAAGACAGUUAUGUAUUUUCUAAGGUGGUAUUAGUAUGUUUGAUAUGUUUUUAAGGUGGUAUUAGUUUGUUUAAGACAGUUACAUGGUUUUAAGGUGGUAUUAGUAUGUUUAACAGAGUUAUAUAGUUUUUGAAGGUGGUCCAGUCCUGUGGUCUUGUGAUUUUUAAGGUGGUAUAAGUUUAAAAUGGAACAAAAUGGAUGAAUGUAAAUCAAGAUUAGACAGAUGGUUAAAUACAGAUCUUUCUCUGUUUAAUCGCAUUUAUAACCAAAACCAAAAGCCUUUCCAGGUGUAUUUACCCAGCCUGCUCUCUGUCUAUCCCCAACAAAGCUACCAAAACCAUCAAGACAUUAAACUUUGAUUACAUCUGGAAAAGAUGUACCAUUAUCUGACUGUAGUGAUAUAGAUGAUGUAGAUGGUGGGCUACAAGCCACAGACUUUGACUGUAUAAAUGGUUCAGAGUCUUUCUAGCAAACAGUAGACGCUUCUGGUAUUGUGUCUCCAGGGAAUUGUUUAAAGAAAUUGGAGGUAUUAAUUUACUUUAUUUACUUGUGAUUUUGAUUUUGAUGUUCCAAAACUUUCUAUAAAACUGUUGCAUUUCA